rnacentral:rRNA from 1 species
UACGUAGGGACCAAGCGUUGUUCGGAUUUAAUGGGCGUAAAGGGCGCGUAGGCGGCUUAACAAGUCACUUGUGAAAUCUCCGGGCUUAACUCGGAACGGCCAAGUGAAACUGUCAAGCUAGAGUGCAGAAGGGGCAAUCGGAAUUCUUGGUGUAGCGGUGAAAUGUGUAGAUAUCAAGAGGAACACCUGAGGUGAAGACGGGUUGCUGGGCUGACACUGACGCUGAGGCGCGAAAGCCAGGGGAGCAAACGGG